rnacentral:rRNA from 2 species
ACGGGAGGCAGCAGUGGGGAAUCUUCCGCAAUGGGCGAAAGCCUGACGGAGCAAUGCCGCGUGAGUGAAGAAGGCCUUCGGGUUGUAAAACUCUGUCCUUAUUGAAGAGAGGUAAUAGUGUGAAUAAUGCUAAUAUAGGACGGUAAAUAAGGAGGAAGCCCCGGCUAACUACGUGCCAGCAGCCGCGGUAAUACGUAGGGGGCGAGCGUUGUCCGGAAUCACUGGGCGUAAAGGGCGCGUAGGCGGUUUCAUAAGUCGGUAGUGAAAACUGAGGGCUCAACCUUCAGCCUGCUACCGAUACUGUGAGACUUGAGUAUGGAAGAGGAGUAUGGAAUUCCUAGUGUAGCGGUGAAAUGCGUAGAUAUUAGGAGGAACACCAGUGGCGAAGGCGAUACUCUGGGCCAAAACUGACGCUGAGGCGCGAAAGUGUGGGGAGCAAACAGGAUUAGAUACCCUGGUA